CAGCCCAGGUCUGAGGGACUGUGUGCAUGGAUCUUCCUGAAGACACGCCUUCUGAGAUCACCCUCAGUCCCCUGACUGAGUGACCAGCCACUUGCUUGCCUACUUCCUAUAGUUCUUCCAUGUGUGUCGAUCCAGGGCAGAAAUAUUUACUUCCCUGAGACCUAAAGAAUCUCCCAGAAGAUGGCCUCCAGGCCUCGGGCGUGCUGUAACUGCCUGCUCAGGUAGAGGUGCAUUUACUGAUGCUGCAGAUGCUGAAUGAAAAUGUGGUGACUCCAACUUCCAGAAGCCCCGCAUGAGUGCAGCAAGGGGUGACUCCAACUUCCAGAAGCCCCACGUGAAUGCAGCAAGGGGUGACUCCAACUUCCAGAAGCCCUGCAUGAGUGCAGCAAGGGGUGACUCCAACUUCCAGAAGCCCCGCAUGAGUGCAGCAAGGGGUGACUCCAACUUCCAGAAGCCCCACAUGAACGCAGCAAGGGGUGACUCCAACUUCCAGAAGCCCCACAUGAACGCAGCAAGGGGUGACUCCAACUUCCAGAAGCCCCACGUGAAUGCAGCAAGGGGUGACUCCAACUUCCAGAAGCCCCACGUGAAUGCAGCAAGGGGUGACUCCAACUUCCAGAAGCCCCGCAUGAGUGCAGCAAGGGAUGACUCCAACUUCCAGAAGCCCCACGUGAAUGCAGCAAGGGGUGACUCCAACUUCCAGAAGCCCCACGUGAAUGCAGCAAGGGGUGACUCCAACUUCCAGAAGCCCCACGUGAAUGCAGCAAGGGGUGACUCCAACUUCCAGAAGCCCCGUGUGAACGCAGCAAGGGGUGACUCCAACUUCCAGAAGCCCCACGUGAACGCAGCAAGGGGUGACUCCAACUUCCAGAAGCCCCGCAUGAGUGCAGCAAGGGGUGACUCCAACUUCCAGAAGCCCCACGUGAACGCAGCAAGGGGUGACUCCAACUUCCAGAAGCCCUGCAUGAGUGCAGCAAGGGGUGACUCCAACUUCCAGAAGCCCCGCAUGAAUGCAGCAAGGGGUGACUCCAACUUCCAGAAGCCCCACAUGAACGCAGCAAGGGGUGACUCCAACUUCCAGAAGCCCCACGUGAAUGCAGCAAGGGGUGACUCCAACUUCCAGAAGCCCCACGUGAAUGCAGCAAGGGGUGACUCCAACUUCCAGAAGCCCCGCAUGAGUGCAGCAAGGGAUGACUCCAACUUCCAGAAGCCCCACGUGAAUGCAGCAAGGGGUGACUCCAACUUCCAGAAGCCCCACGUGAAUGCAGCAAGGGGUGACUCCAACUUCCAGAAGCCCCACGUGAAUGCAGCAAGGGGUGACUCCAACUUCCAGAAGCCCCGUGUGAACGCAGCAAGGGGUGACUCCAACUUCCAGAAGCCCCACGUGAACGCAGCAAGGGGUGACUCCAACUUCCAGAAGCCCCGCAUGAGUGCAGCAAGGGGUGACUCCAACUUCCAGAAGCCCCGCAUGAGUGCAGCAAGGGGUGACUCCAACUUCCAGAAGCCCCACGUGAAUGCAGCAAGGGGUGACUCCAACUUCCAGAAGCCCCGCAUGAAUGCAGCAAGGGGUGACUCCAACUUCCAGAAGCCCCACGUGAAUGCAGCAAGGGGUGACUCCAACUUCCAGAAGCCCCGCAUGAGUGCAGCAAGGGGUGACUCCAACUUCCAGAAGCCCCGCAUGAAUGCAGCAAGGGGUGACUCCAACUUCCAGAAGCCCCACAUGAACGCAGCAAGGGGUGACUCCAACUUCCAGAAGCCCCACGUGAAUGCAGCAAGGGGUGACUCCAACUUCCAGAAGCCCCACGUGAAUGCAGCAAGGGGUGACUCCAACUUCCAGAAGCCCCGCAUGAGUGCAGCAAGGGAUGACUCCAACUUCCAGAAGCCCCACGUGAAUGCAGCAAGGGGUGACUCCAACUUCCAGAAGCCCCACGUGAAUGCAGCAAGGGGUGACUCCAACUUCCAGAAGCCCCGCAUGAGUGCAGCAAGGGAUGACUCCAACUUCCAGAAGCCCCACGUGAAUGCAGCAAGGGGUGACUCCAACUUCCAGAAGCCCCACGUGAAUGCAGCAAGGGGUGACUCCAACUUCCAGAAGCCCCACGUGAAUGCAGCAAGGGGUGACUCCAACUUCCAGAAGCCCCGUGUGAACGCAGCAAGGGGUGACUCCAACUUCCAGAAGCCCCACGUGAACGCAGCAAGGGGUGACUCCAACUUCCAGAAGCCCCGCAUGAGUGCAGCAAGGGGUGACUCCAACUUCCAGAAGCCCCGCAUGAGUGCAGCAAGGGGUGACUCCAACUUCCAGAAGCCCCACGUGAAUGCAGCAAGGGGUGACUCCAACUUCCAGAAGCCCCGCAUGAAUGCAGCAAGGGGUGACUCCAACUUCCAGAAGCCCCACGUGAAUGCAGCAAGGGGUGACUCCAACUUCCAGAAGCCCCGCGUGAAUGCAGCAAGGGGUGACUCCAACUUCUAGAAGCCCCGCAUGAAUGCAGCAAGGGGUGACUCCAACUUCCAGAAGCCCCAUGUGAAUGCAGCAAGGGGUGGGUUUUGUACAUUUAAACAAAACUAUGCAAUUGGACAGAUGGAUUACCAAGGAGACUAAAAAUAUAUUCUUUGACUUUGGGAAUUGCCUACCAAAGUAAUUUCUGCAUUCUCUGUUUGCUAGUGUUGUGACAUCUGCCUUCAGCAAUGACCUGGUUGUAAGAGGGAUUUUUAACAAUGUAACUAGUAGCUUUCUCAAUAGCAUGGGGACAGCUCAGAAAUUCAGUUGUUUGAUGGAGAAUGUCCACAUCUCAUGAUACCUAGGAGAUGCCAGGAGUCUGUUUCUGUCAGGAGAAUCCCAGCUCUAAAAACUUGCCAUAGUAAGAAGAUUUGUUUUUAAUUAUUGUUGUUUAGUUUGGUUUUCUUUUGAAUAAAGCUAUUUAACUGGCACAGGUGGCCAUAAAAUUACCAAGUAAAUUCAAGAUGAACUGUCAGUAACAAAAUGUGUUUAAAAGUCCUACUAUUGAGACAUUUCAUGUUUAUCUUGAGGAUAUGUCCAGAAAAAUAUGUGCAGGUUUUAUAUAUUUAUUUCAUAUAUAUAAUAUACAAUAUAAAUGU